AUUGAACGCUGGCGGCAUGCUUUACACAUGCAAGUCGAACGGUAGAGGGGGCAACCCCUUGAGAGUGGCGAACGGGUGAGUAAUGCAUCGGAACGUGCCCAGUCGUGGGGGAUAACGCAGCGAAAGCUGUGCUAAUACCGCAUACGAUCUCUGGAUGAAAGCGGGGGACCGAAAGGCCUCGCGCGAUUGGAGCGGCCGAUGUCAGAUUAGGUAGUUGGUGGGGUAAAGGCUCACCAAGCCAACGAUCUGUAGCUGGUCUGGGAGGACGACCAGCCACACUGGGACUGAGACACGGCCCAGACUCCUACGGGAGGCAGCAGUGGGGAAUUUUGGACAAUGGGCGCAAGCCUGAUCCAGCAAUGCCGCGUGCAGGAAGAAGGCCUUCGGGUUGUAAACUGCAUUUGUACGGAACGAAAAGGUCUGGGUUAAUACCCUGGGCACAUGACGGUACCGUAAGAAUAAGCACCGGCUAACUACGUGCCAGCAGCCGCGGUAA
rnacentral:rRNA from 1 species